AGCGAACGCUGGCGGCAGGCCUAACACAUGCAAGUCGAACGAACCCUUCGGGGUUAGUGGCGGACGGGUGAGUAACACGUGGGAACGUGCCUUUAGGUUCGGAAUAACUCAGGGAAACUUGUGCUAAUACCGAAUGUGCCCUUCGGGGGAAAGAUUUAUCGCCUUUAGAGCGGCCCGCGUCUGAUUAGCUAGUUGGGGAGGUAAAGGCUCACCAAGGCUACGAUCAGUAGCUGGUCCGAGAGGAUGACCAGCCACAUUGGGACUGAGACACGGCCCAAACUCCUACGGGAGGCAGCAGUGGGGAAUCUUGCGCAAUGGGCGAAAGCCUGACGCAGCCAUGCCGCGUGGAUGAUGAAGGUCUUAGGAUUGUAAAAUCCUUUCACCGGUGAAGAUAAUGACUGUAGCCGGAGAAGAAGCCCCGGCUAACUUCGUGCCAGCCGCCGCCGUAAAAC
rnacentral:rRNA from 1 species